AUCCAACAAACACGUCAUUUUUUAUUCAAACAGUUGGCGCUAGAGGGAGGGGCCAAGGAGAACUAUCUUAGGAGUAUAUCAAACUUUAGGAGAAUCCUAGAUCUAACUUCAUCUCAAGUUGGUUUCUAAAAAAAAAGAAAGGGCUUUCUCACCCACGAAAGAGCCCAAGAUUCUCAUCAGCUUGCCGUCUCAUCCCUUGGCUCAUGAAGAUUUGGUGGCGCGGCUUCAGUCUUGGUCCGCCGGUGAGGUUUGUCGAAAUCAAGCCAGAGCCUUGGAAGGUCAACGAUCUCGUGGCCACGGGAAGAAGACGACGACAGAGAUCAACGACGUCGAAGCCGCUACUUUCCGAUACGGAACGUUGAGAAGGACGAUCAGAAACGCUCGGACGCCAUUGACGGAUAGGUCAAAAGCUCUGACGUUCCUCACGAGCUUCUCAACAUGUUGAAGGACAUGAAGAGAGGCCUCGAUUCAUUUCCAGAGCAAAGAACAUAAGAGUGACGCCGCAUAAGUUCUCGAUUUCGGAUCUGCACACGUCUUGUUCGACGAAUUGAUUCAGAGAGUUCCUAAUUGCAUUGUUUCUCCUCCUUCCUCCAGUGUCACCACCGCGACGGCGCCUGGGCAUGUUGUUUCUCCGGCGAGUUUGUUUCAUUCCGAUAAGGCUUCUGUCAAGUCUAAGGAAAUGUUGCACGUAUGAUACGUUUGCGAUCAAGGUCAAGUCUUCGCUCGGUUUCUCAGUUCCUCGCAAACCUCAGGUUAAGGAUUCAACACUUGAGAAUAAGAAAGAUGAAGCCUAGCUUGAUUGAAGUAUCUGCCGCGAUGGGGAGUGGAUGAGUCUCAACGACCAGAGCAACGCUGUUCUAUUAACGAGGUUUAAAGAAACCUCUGUCAAGUCGGAUCCAGAUGAUGUCGAGAUGCUUCGUUCCUCUACUUCAAGCCUUUGUACAGCUGGUGUUACUAAAUCAUGUCAAUGGAGCCAUUCUGGUCACAAGCACCACACCGAGAACUUCAAGCUUACCGUUCAUUGCGAGAUGAACUGGUUCUCUAUUUUCUCUGCUCUGUUACGUGAUGCUGGUAACCUUGUCUUGCUGAAAAACAAGGAGGAGAUUGUUUGGGAAAGCCUGCUGAUACUUGCUUCUGAACCGAAAGCUGGAAGCUUUUAAGAUGCUUAGAGCUGCUAGUGAGAGCUCUAGGUCUAGUUAUUAUAGCCUUCACAUGGAGGGUUCAGGGAAGCUAGAGCUGAGGUGGGAGAGUAACAUCACGAUCUGUCUAGUAAUUAUAGCCUUGCGACGAGACCACUGUAGCAAGCUCUGUCUUUUCCUUGCGACAAUAUCGCCAACACCAGCUCUGUCUCUUCUUUACGACAAGAUCGUUGUGUCCCACGAAGCCCAAGUGCAACUCUGAUCUUUGCUUUUACAGUACGAGAUUCAAAUCAAGCUAUAGCUUGCGUACCAAGAUUCAGCAGCAGUCAUCUCUAGCCAUCAAAGGCACAAGCUUUCUGUUGGACGCUUGUUUCUCCUUCACGACAAAGAUAAGUUCUUUUAUAAGCUGCUCAUUCUCAUAUAAUUAUUGCUUUAUUGCUGGUAGCCUAUGAUAUUAAUUAUUAACAAUUAUCAUAUUAUCAUGCACUCACAAGCAUUAAGUAAUAAUGAGUUCUACAGCCCGCUUAUUGCUUAUGCCAAAUUUGGUUAUGUCUUUUGGUUUAUAUUGAUCUAAUCAUGAUCAUGCCUUUUGUGAGCCAGCGAUCGUUGAGCCAAAGACAAGCGGCUGCCACCAUCAUGUCCUCAUGCUUCGAAGGACGGCCCUUAGCUACGAGCUUGCCGGAAGCGGUACAAGCGGAGCAAACCAGAACGUUUCUCAACGUCAUCACAGCCUGACGAACAUACAAGCCAUCGGCACACACGAUUUCAACACGAGACUUUGGGUCGGCAAUAGUUCGGUAAACUUGUAUUUUAGGCACGAGUUUAAAUUGAACUUACUUGUUAUUAGGCAUGAGUUUGCAGUCGACUCGCUUAUUGUUAGACACGAGUUUACAAAAACUCGCCUUUGGCUAGGCAUAAGUUUAUAAAAACUCUCCUUCUACUAGGCACGAGUUCUCAGUAAACUCGCCUUUGUCUCAGCGUGAGUCCAGUAAACUCGUCUUUCGCUAAGCACGAGUUUAAAACAAACUCGCCUUUUACUAGGCACAAGUUCAAGUCGUCAUAGGCAUGAAUGUGUCUAGUUGAUUGUCUAAUAAAUCAUAUUCGUAAAAUUCAUAGAGAUCGACUUCAUCUCUCUCUACGAACUUGGAGGGUUUACUGUUGGGGGUGGAUUUACAUCCUCCCUCAAGGUCCAUUGGACAAUAAAUUAAGCUCAUUUUACUAUGAAGUCCUAGCUUCUUCUUUGUAUAAAUAUAAAUACACCUCUCUUUAUCAAGCGAAUCUUCUCUUUUCCACUUAGAUCUAGAACACUUCUUAUAAAAAGUUUAUGGAUUCUUAGAUUUACUUUACACUUGUAAUACAAUGUUGAUAAAUAAACUCUUUUUGAUAUUCAUUUUCCAUUUGAUUUCGAUGUUGAUUUCUUGUAAGUCUCAAAAAUCUAAGAAAUCUAAUUCUUAAAUUCUUCAUUGUAUGAAUCCAACAAACACGUCUUUUUGGUUCAAACAAACAAGAAUACAAUCCCAAUUCACUAUCUUGUCUUACAUAGAGACAUAUUGAAAUUCUUACAUAGACUCAACUACAUGCUCAUUUUCAAGGUUUAGGAAACCAUUUGAACCAGGAAUUGAAAUCGUAAAUCUUCAAUAUAAUCACUAUGUGGUAACAUCUGCCAGAAUCAGAAUAUCGAAGUAUCGAACUUAAAACGGAUCUGAUUAUGCUGAAAAAUUAUUCUUUCCUCAGUUACGUUUGAAUAAUCAUUUGGGACAAGACUUAUUUUCUUAAAACAUCAAAUUUUACAUCUUACACCUGCUAAUACUUUGAACCAUUCCUACCGAGACAAUUUACAUGCAAUAUGUUGAACACAUGCAUGCAUCCUACAUAUGCAUCAAAAGAUGUGCAAAACCUUGUAUAUGAGUUUAAGUGGAUGCUAGAAUAAUAUACAUUGAAUCACUGUCAAAGUCAAGUACAUAUGAACAUAUGAUUGUGAAGUAUACACCUUUUUGCUUUCAAAGAUUUUAAUUUAUCUAGUAAAAUGCAAAAUAAAUACAACAUGACACCAUUUAUGUAAUAUCUCAAAACCGAGCCUCAAAAAUUAUUGCAAAACUUAGGUUCACCUCCUAGAGUGAACCUUUAAAUUUACAUCUCAUUCUAGAACCAAUCAAAGUACCACGUAGAUAAUUAAUUAAAAAAUAUUAAAUUUAUUUAAAAAUAACUAAAAAAAGAAUAACGCCAAUUUUAACGACGAUGACGCCGCUACCUAAACCGUAAACCCUAAAUCUUAAAUUCUAAACCCUAAACUUUAAAUCCUAAACCCAAACCCUAAAACCUAAAACCUAUACCCUAAACCCAAAUCCUAGACCAUAAACCCAAAUUGUAUACCCUAAUCUCAAACUGUAUACCCUAAACCCAAACCAUAAACCCUAAACCCAAACCAUAUACCCUAAAUUUAAAUCCUAGACCCUAAACCCAAACCUUAUAGCGUAUAGGUUUAGGAUUUGGGUUUAGGGUUUAGGGUAUACGGUUUGGGUUUAGGAUUUGGUUUAGGUAUAGGGUUUGGAUUUAAGGUUUACAGUUUGGGUUUAGGGUCUAGGAUUUGGGUUUAGAGUAUGCAAUUUGAGUUUAGGGUCUAGGAUUUGGGUUUAGGGUAUAUGGUUUGAGUUUAAAAUUUAAGGUUUAGGGUUUAGAAUUUAAGAUAUGGGGUUUUCGGUUUAGCCGGCGGCGUCAGCGUUGUUAAAAUUAGCAUUAUUCUUUUCUUUUAAAAAAAAAAAAAAAUUUAAUAGUUUUUAAUUAAUUAUCUGCGUGACACUUUGAUUGAUCCUAGAAGAAGAUGUGAAUUUAAAGGUUCACCCUAAGGGUUGAAUUUAAAGGUUCACCCUAGGGGUAAACCUAAAUUUUGUUCCAAAUAUUAUUAGGUUUAAAAGGAAACCGGCUAGGAUUUACCUCAAUUUUUCUUAUAAAUAGAGGUUUCCUCUCUCUUUUUCUACAAAACAAAACCACGGCCAAACUGUGGAGAGAUUUCGAAAACCAAAACCUUAGCCGUCAAAAUACUUCUCCUCUAUCUCGCCUCUUCUCACUACAAAAAAAAAUAGCGUCUAUUGCAACAUAAAAAUUACAAUGUCUAUUUUCGUUAUGAUUAUUACAAUAUUUUUUUGCAAUAAUAAAUAUUAUUUACAGUUUCAUUACAAAUUUAUUGCAAAAUAACAACUAUAACGGACGUUACAUGUUUUCUUUACUAAAUUUCAAUUUUUUACAACAUAAAUAAAUAUCUUGUGAAUUUUGCAAAAAGCAUUCAACACUUUUGAAUCAUUGCUAAUUUGCACACACAAAAAAUAUGUGGCAAAAAUGUGAAAGUGAUUAUACUUUUAUUAUAUAAUUUUAUAGAAAAAAUUAAAUGUUUUUUGUAUAUUAAUUACAAGAAAUAUAUAAUAUAUAUUUAUAUUUUAUAUUUAAAUAUGUACACUAUAUUUUUAAAGUUUCAGGUUGUUAAGAUUUGUUAACAGUUUUAUGUUAUGAAUUUUAUUUUGUUUUGGUCUAAUAUGGUAUGGCUUACUUACUCCUAUUCGGAAAAGGAAAUUAGACAAAAUAAUUAUUUAAAUAUUUUUCAAAAAUAAUUAUAAAAUAACUAUGCUAUAAACGUAACUUUUAUCUCUUCUUUUUUUCCCUUUAAUUCAGAUAAAGAUAGGUCCAAGGUCUUUAUCAAAAAAAAAAAUUUAGUAAUUUCAAGAAAAAUAAAACUACACACAUACCUUCUUCCAAAUCAUUAACGGAAAAAGACUUCUCAUCUCUUUAAUUAUCGACAUACCCCCCGAAUCUCUUUCUCCACUUUUUGUCAUGAAACAGAGCAUAUUACAGCAGGUUUCAUAUCACAAUAAUUGUGUUGCUGUUUCUUCCUUGAUUGAACGGCUCGGAACACUUACGUACUUGUUGUCAUACGAUUCUGUUCACACUCGAUUGGUUGAUCGCAGAUUUUUCAAAAAUUCAAAUGUCUUAGAGUAAUGAUAAUCAUGCUAUGAGGCAGUGGAUGUACGCAAGAAUUGAUCCUAAUACCAAUCAAGUCUCUAAUGCAUUUAUAGAAGGAUUGAAAUAUUUUUUGGUUGCUGCUAAAAACCAUGUUUUAUUUACUCAAAAACAGAAAAUAUUUUACCCGUGUAGUAAGUGUGAGAAUAGAAAAUUUCUUGAUGAGCAAACAGUCGUCGGCCAUUUAUAUAACAGUUUGCCCAUUUUUAGUAAAAUUUUACACUCUUUCGGAUUUUCUACCCAAUUCACUCGAAUGAAUUGUUUAGAUUAGUCCAUCGAGUCUUUCUUUUUUUUCUAUAAACCCACAUUUUUAUUCUCCUUUUAGACCAAGCCUUUUUUGUGUUGAAAGUUCUCUCUUGCUGAGAAAGAUGACCCUAGAAAAGAGCGUAAUAAUGGCCCAUGACAUUACAGUGUCAUACAAAAAUUUGGAGUAGUUGUCUGUACAACAGUAAAUAUGGUACAAAUUGAUUUGCUUGCCGUAAAUUCAUCUCUUUUUGAGUUCGCGGGCUUGAGACCAAGUACAUAUAUGAACUGAGAGGAUUAAACCGAAGUUGUUAAAUAAGAUUGAUGGACAGAGUCGGGAGAUUCGUAGAGUUGAUAUCAAAGGUUUCAAUGCCAAUUACAAAUGCAAGAUAUUGGAACCACUUUACUUAUGCGUACUGGUCAGUAAAACUUAAUGAAAAUUAGCCUCAAAAAUAUUGCAAUACCGGCGACUUUAAAUUUGCUUUGUCUGAAACUGGCUCUACAAAUCUGGUUCUGUACAGUUUGGCUAUCUAAAGAAUGAAAACAAGAAUUUGUCCAUCAACAUAAACCAAUAUAUUAUAAAAUUGAGAUGCAUUCAAACUCUCAUAUAAACUUUGCAUCUAAACCUAAUACUUCAUGGGCUUUUAGUCCAUAAUCAACUAUAGCCUUAGAUUUCACACUUGGUAGAAAUGUUUAAUAGCUCACCACUUGUUUAUAAACUUCUGCUAACUAAUGAUACUUUCAUCUUAAAGCCAUUGAAUAAGUAAUGCAUAAUUAGUUUUCUAUAGAAGCGACUAAAACUGAAGUUUUUAACAAUGUAUUCUUUUAAAAUAAAAACUAGACAUUGAUCCGCACAUUCGUACGGGUAAUUUUUCAUUUUAUAAAUAUAUAUUUUUCAUAUUAUAUUUUGUAUAUAAUCAUUUUUGAUAAUAUAAUAUUGUGAUUUUCAAAAUAAAUAAAUAGAUAAUAUAUAGUUGUAGAUAUAAAGUUUAAUAUAUGUUAACAAUUUCAUUUUUAUAUAAAAAUGUUACAUAAUUUAUUAAUUUUUAUUUUUAUAAACUGUAAAUGAUAUUCUAAUUCCUAUAAAAGAUGAAUGAUAUUUUUAUUUACUUAAAUGAAAAUAUUAUUUUAUUUAUGUUAAUUUACCAAUUCAAUAUAAUUUUCGUAUUUAAUUCAUUUAUUACUUCUAUUUAAUACAAUAUGGACUAUAAUUAUAAAAUUCAUAAAAAAUAUCAUAUAAUUUAUUUUGUUUUGUUUUUAUAAAAAAUUAUUUAAAAUUAGUUUAUAGUAAUAUUAUAUUACUAAUUAUGAAAUUAAUCAUUCAUUAAUUAAAAAAAUGUUUAAAUAUUUAUAAGAUUUGGUUAGAUUAUUUCUCAUCAGAUUUUAUUAUAACUAAAAAUAAAAUUUAAAUUUACAGUUAAAAUUAAUUUAUUAUUAAUAUUCUUAUAGUUAUUUAGAUUCUUUAGAAAUGUUAAUGCAAAAAUCAAAUAGAUAUAUGAAUCUAGUAUGACUAUUUUAUAGUACAUAAAAAUGGUACUUCUCUUUUAAUAGAGAAAAUAAGAAACCAAAAAAGAUUCUAAAUGUGUGAUAAAAAAAGGGGCCUUACUACUUUUAGGGAGAUGAUCUUCACGCCUAAGUUCCACUUUGAGAUAUGAUUGUGGUUCUCUGUUGUAUUCCACCUCAAUUCUCACAUUCUCAAAACCGUCUCAUGUUUAUGGAUAUUGUUUUCUUUGCUAUAAAUAUAAAUAACAAGUACUUUCUUGACACCAAAAUAGUUUUCUUCCAAGAAAUUGAUAGAUAACGAUCAAGAUAAAUAUAUUCUCAGUUUAGCAAACAACCUUAAGAGCAUCUUCCAAAGUAACAUCAUUUUUAAUUGAAAGGAUCUCUCUCUAAUCCUCUCUCUCUAAUCCUCUCUCUCUCUAAAACCUCUCAAAACCUAAAUCGCCCUUUUCAUCUUCUCCGGCUGCGCGGCACGGAGCCGAUUUCCUCCCUUCUCUCUCUCUCUUUUUAUUUUUCUUUGCCUCUUCCUCUUCCUCUGUUUCCCUUCCCGGUAGGUCAACUUUCUAGAAAGUUCAUUCGGUUUUUGUGUUCAGAUCCGGGCCCUGGUGAUGGCUCUUCUUUUCGGUUGGCUUUCUCCAGAGACGCGACGAGGCUAUGGGAACUAGGAAGCGGCUGGGGUGGAUUUUAGGAUGGCGGGAAGUAGAUUGGCGUUUUUCAGAUCUGUUUGGUCCGAUAUACUUCCAACUGGAGGUGGCAGCACGUGUAGCUGAAUCUGACUCACCCAGUUCAUAUUUUCUUGUUUGGGCCUGUCUCGGUGUGGUGUUUGGUUCUUAUCCUCCGCCUUGGUGUCUCGGCGAGAAUUCCCUCUCCUCUGCCCUCAAGUUGUCCUUUGGUGGUUGUCUCCAUCAAGGCGUGUGUAGAUUUAUCCCCAUUUGGUGGUGUCAGAUAGUGGUGUCUGAUGGCGUGUGUUGCUUCUUGGUCCUGGGGUCAUGUGGAGGUGUCUGGUACUUUGGCGUCCUCUUUUCCGGGAAUCUGUUACAAUCAUUGCCAGGUUCAGUUCAUGGUCUUGUUUGGAAGGGAACUCGGGCCAGAGUUUGCUCUCUCUUGGUUUUGGGGUCUUUGGGUUCGUUCUUCAUUGGCUUCUCGUCAUCGUUCUGUCACCGGUGGCUGAGUUUAGAGUCUGAAGAAUCAUCACUUGUUCUAAGUGGUGGAAUGUGUGGAGAUUUUGACAGGUUUCGGGGGCCAUCGAUUGCUCUGUCCUCUCUCCAUGGCGGCACAUUUUGGACAUCUCCAUCCCAGUUAUGAAGAUGUUUCAGUUGGCUAUAUUCGGUAGGAGCUAUCUUUUUCUUUAGUUGCAGGUACCCUUUCCCCUCACAGAAAGGCGGCUUCACGUCAAUCCGAGUUUUGCCUUGAGUGAACGCAUCUUGGUGUUAGGUUCGUAGUCGUCCUAAUGUAUUGAUUUCUUGGGUCUUUGUUGACUCUCUCGAGCUUAAGAGUUAAGACACAUUCAGCACUGUAUGAAAAAUGGGAUGCAUAGCUCCUUACCCAGAUUAACCGAUCUAGUAGUGAGGAACAAGUCUGAUCCGGGGAUGUUGAAAACCAUUCCGACUUUGUCGUCUUUCUGAAGCCUAGCUAUAGGAUUGUGUUGUACCGACUUUGUUUCGAUUUACAGUAAUGUGUUCGUGAUGCCUCUUUGGGAAAGCUAAUAAAAUGUAAAAAAAAUUCAUUUUUUUAAUUGGCAAAACUUCAAAUUUAAAAUUUAGGAGUGUUUUUUUUUUCCAAAAUAAAAACUUCAAAUUUAACAUUAAUUUUUCUUGUAUUUUACACUAUAGUUUUUCUUAUUGAUAAAAGUUAAUAAAAUCAUAAAUAUUUUAUAUAAUCAUAAAAAUGAGAACCAAUCAGCGUUUGUUCAGUACCGAAUCCUAAUGGUGCUAAAGUCUUUGACAAACCUUCUGUAGAAACCAGCUAGUCCAUGAAAGCUUCUAACUUCGCUCACACUCUUAGGACUUGGCCAAUCUCAGAUUGCUUUGAUCUUUUCUUCAUCCACCUUGAUUCCUUGAGCUGUAACAACAAAGCCUAAAACACAAGGUGAUUUGCUCCAAAAGUACACUUUUUAAAAUUAGCAAAAAGAGUUUCCUUUCUAAGCACUUCAAGAACAGAUUUCAGAUGCUUAACAUGCUCAUUCAAACUCUUGUUGUAGAUCAGGAUAUCAUCAAAAUAAACUACCACAAAAUGACCUAUGAAAGCUCUAAAAACAUGAUCCAUCAAUCUCAUAAAAGUUCUAGGUGCGUUUGUAAGUCCAAAUGGCAUAACAAGCCACUCAUACAAGCCAUGUUUUGUUUUAAAAGCAGUUUUCCACUCAUCACCUUCUUUCAUCCUAUCAUCAAGUUUAGGAAUAUGAUGCAUGUACUUUACAGUGAUAUUGUUGAUGGCUCUGUAAUCUACACACAUGCGCCAGCUUCCAUCUUUAUUUGGCACCAAAAGUACUGGAACAACACAUGGACUCAUGCUUUCUCUGAUAUGGCCUUUCUCCAUUGACUCAUCAACAUGCCUCUGUAGUUCCUUAGUCUCUUCAGGAUUGGUUCUGUAAGCUGGUCGGUUGGAAAGAGAAGCUCCGGGAAAAAAAUCUAUUUGAUGUUCAAUCCCUCUGACUGGUGGUAGACCAUCAGGGCUCUCUUCUGGAAAUACAUCACUAAACUCCUGCAAAGGAAACUUAAACUCACUCGGUAGCACCGGUUCAUGGUCGGAAGAAGUCAUUAGUGCACCUUUAAAGACAAACAAAAGCAUAGACUGUUGGAGAUACAUAGCUUUCUUAACCUCACUGUUUUUGGCCAUGAGGUGAAUCUCCUUGUCUUUCUUUCUAUCAGGUAAUUUCUCUUUGUCUUUAGCUUCUUGUCUCAUGAGCUUGAGUUGAACUUGGUCUUGAUGAACCUCAUGAGGUGAUAUGGGAGUGAGAGCAAUCUUCUUCUCCCGAUGGGUGAAAGAUUGGCGGUUCGUAAACCCAUCAUGAAACUUUCUUAUCAUACUGCCAAGGCCUUCCAAGGAGGAUAUGGCUAGAGUCCAUAGGCAGAAUAUCACACACUAUCUCAUCUUGGUAUCUCCCAAUGGUUAUAUGAACCAUAACUUGUUCUGUGACCUUUAACUCACCAUCUUCAUUCAGCCACUGAAGCAAAUAAGGUCGAGGAUGUUUUCCAGUUUUCAGACCAAGCUUUGCCACAAGAGAUUCACUAGCCACAUUAGUAAAUAUUCCACCAUCUAUAAUCAGGCUGCAAACCUUAUUAUAAGCAUUACAACGAGUGUUAAAGAGGUUCUCUCUUUGAUUUGGACUGAACUUUCAACGAUCUUCUAGUGACCAGAAGCUCUCCACGCACUAGAUAUUCUACAGCUUCUUCCUCAGUAACAUCAUCCUUCUCGUCCUCAGAGAUCAGUUUGCCAUUCUCAAGCAAUAUCAUGACCUUCUUGUUAGUGCACUCUCUAGCAUAGUGACCAAAACCAUGGCAUUUGAAACACUUCACAUCUCUGGUUCGUGUGGCUGCUGCCUUCCCUUUGUUAUCUCGAGCAGUCGCCUUUGGUUCUUCUUUUGGUUUCACAAAUACCUUGUAUUCUUUACCAUAAGAUGAUCUGGUUGUGUUACCAUAAGAGCCUCUAGGAUUCAGUUUCCUCUUCAACUGCUGCUCAAUGAGAGUUGCCUUGUGUAGAAACUCAUAGAUAUCCUCAUACUCCUGCAACUCCAAUCUAUCUUGAACUUCACGGUUGAGGCCAUCUAGAAAUCAUGCCAUAGUUGCCUUAGGACUUUCUUCUACAGCAGCUUUCAUCAAUAGGAUUUCCAUCUCCUAGUAGUAGUCUUUUACACCUCUGGUUCCUUGAGUAAGUCUCCUGAGUAUUUGAUGAACUUCCCUACUGUAAUGACCAGGAACAAGUGUUUCUUCAUAAUAGUUUUGAGUUCAAACCAUGAAGACACUUGUGGCUCUCCUGUUCUCCUCCUGGUUGUAACAAUCUGAUACCACCAAUGUAGAGCAUAACCAUUGAACUCAGUAACAACUAGUCUCACUUUCUUAGAGUCUAAAAAAUUCUUGCAAUCAAACACCAGUUCCAUCUUUUUCUCCCACUCCAGAUACGCAUCAGAAUCGUUUAUACCACUGAAAGUUGGUAUACUGAGCUUGAGGUUGCCAAGGCUGUCGUCAGCUAUGUCUUCAGCAACUCCGCGUGCCGUGCGCCUAGUUUGAGAAGUUGUCCUUACUGAUUUGGCAUCAUCAGUACUACGGCCAGAAGAGGUAUAAAGAUCCUCAUUUUCUUCAACUACUGCAGGUCGCUUGCCCUUUCUCUUUUUUCUAGCUGCUUUCCUAGUCUGUGAAGAAGUACCCAAAACAUUGUCAGUAGCAAAGGAAACUCUUUCAAAUUGAAGUUUCUUAUCCAUUUCUUUCAUCAGUGUAGCCAUCAUGGCCCCCAUCUGAAUUUUAUCAAACUUAAAAGUGGGUGUUUCAUCUCGUUAAUGGCUCCCAUCAGACAUGGCUUCCUGUUAAGAAAUUAAACAAGAAAGAUUAGCACAUAUAUGAAUAGUUGAAGCCUCACAAUCUCUCAAGUGUUUCUCUCUUAUAUUUUUCAGUGAGUUUUCUAUGUGAAUCCAGUAGCUCAGCAACAAACAAAGAUCAAACUUCAAAGAACAAACCCCAACCCCAAAACAGAAGAAAGAGAUAGACAGAUUGCAAGAUUUUUGUUUGCAAGAGGCAUUAACACCAAGGCUGGAUUUCUCUUCAGCCGGCUGGAUUUCUCUUCAGCCAAGUUGGAUUUCUCUUCAACUUUUCUUUUGAUUUCGUUUUUUAUAGUGGUUGGCCCUCUUGUAGAUACAACAGAUAGAAAGAUAAGAGAUUUCUGAGAAAAUUGCAGAGAAAUUGUAGUGAAUACAAAACAGAUUCCCAAAACAGAGAAGAGAAGUCAAAAAGUUUAGAAUCAAACCCUAGAUCAAGAGCCUUCAAAUCUGCUCUGAUACCACUUCAUGAAUCCCUUAUGAGGAGAUCUGAUUGUCCCUGUUUCUUUUUUAAGGAAGAUCAGAUGGUUUGAGAGAGAUAUGGGUUGAUUUCGAUGAUGAUGGAUGGAUCGAUUGGAUGAUCUUCAGAGAUGAUCUAUGGAAUGAUCAAGUAUUGUGUAGAUGUGUCUAAGAUCAAGAUAAUGAACUCUACUUGUGAUCAAAAACAAGUUUUGCUUGCAGAGAAUGAACUCCUAGCAAUCAAUGUUCAAAGAUGAACAAAGGAUUCACAGAUAUGAGCAAGUUUGUUUGAUAAAAAGUGAAUCAAUUUUUUAGAAACACGGCAGAGUUUAAGUAGAGAGAAAGGAAGAAGAAAACGAAAAGUCCUAAAAGAAGGCGGGAAGUCUAAGUCGCAGAAAAUAAUAAAUUAUGUAGAAAAACUAAGUAAAACCAAUGACUGAAUAGGUGAAGAGUUGGUUUGGCUCCUUGACUUGAUUUCCGACUUGGUUUAGGUCUGGUACCGAGUAAACCAAAGCAGAAAUCGAUUUCCUCAGUCUUCUGGUUUGUGAUCUAGUGAUUGGGCCUUUAGACAAGCACAAUAGAUCUUUGUCUUGAUUAGUUUUGGCUGAGAAAGUCAUGUCUAGUCCAUCAUCAGUUUGGUUCGGAGUCUGAGUAUCACCGAGUCCAUUUAGCUCCAAGUCAGCUUCACAGUCACCUGAUUGUUGCAUCCACUCAGUUUUAUCCAUAGAGUUGUAUCCACGAGUUUCUGCGCCCACCAGUUCAGCAUCCACGGAGUUGCAUCCACAGAGUUGCAUCCAUUUCAAAUUAUCUUCUAGCUCGACCAUGCUUGCAUCAGUCAGGGCUGAAAAUAAGUUUAGAGAAGUCAAUAGUGUACAUGCCUUGUGUUCUUGUGGAAACAAAAGAAGCAGAUUCUUAUGAACUUUCUAUUUAAGAAGGGCGAGCUUCCGGUUCGGUAUCUCGGUCUACCACUUAUGCAAAAGGCAUGAAAACGCAAGACUGUCUCCCUUAGUGGAAAAGAUAAGAACUCAGAUAUGCUCUUGCACGAGUCGUUUACUCUCUUAUGGAGGUCGAUUACAGCUCAUAAAUGUUGGUUGUAAUUGAUUUUAUUGAAAGGGUGUAUGUGUUAACAGUUGUGACUUUUAGUUAGUUAGUUUUUCUAAGAGUUCUAAAGAGAAAAGACGCAACUCUUAAUUUGUAAUAACACAACUCUAUUAAAGAGCUACAUUGAAGAGAUACAAUCAAGAGAUGUAAGUGUUCACUUUGUGUUGUUUCAUUUUCUAUAUAAUCCCUUGUUAUUGUGAUGUAUAACAAUAUGUUCAGAUUUCUAUUUCUAAUAAUAAAAGUAAAGCUCUUGUUCCUUAAGAGAUUCAUCUCUUGUUUCUUUGUUAUAUUUUAGAAACCUUAGUUUCUUUUACAUGGUAUCAGAGCCUUAUUGAUUCAAGGGCCAACUAAAGAGAGAAGCAAGUAUUUGUAAAAAGGAUUCAAAGAAAAAUUAGAAAAUGAUGGAAGCAACAAUACAACAAGUGAUUCCCAUAUUUUAUGGAGACAAGUAUGAUUUCUCACGCAUUAAGAUGACAACAAUUUUCAAAACUCGAAAAUUGUGGACAGUGGUGGAAAAUGGAGUUCCAACCCAACUGGCACAAACAUAAGAAAAUCCUAGAGUAUUGCAACUGAGAAAUCAAUGGGAGGAAGCAUCAUCACAAGAUAUGAUGGCACUAUAAAUUCUACAAACUGUUGUGUCUGAUAAGAUAUUCUCUCGUAUAGCACCAGCAGUUACUUCAAAGGAAGCAUGGGAUGCUUUGAAAUCUGAAUUCCUAGGAACUCCACAAGUACGAUUGAUCAAACAGCAAUCAUUGAGAAGGGAGUAUGAAAAUUUGAAGAUGAACGAAGGUGAUAACAUCACAGUUUCCACUGAAAAUUAAUUGAUUUGUGAAAUCAAUUAAGAGUUCAUGGUGAAGAGAAGUCGGAUUAUCAGAUUGUCCAGAAAAUUUUGAUAUCUCUCUCAGAAAGGUUUGACAGCAUUGUGGCUGUAAUGGAGCAAACAAAAGAUUUGACUUCGUUGUCGGUAACAGAGUUAAUAGGAACUCUGAAGGCACAUGAAAAACAUAUGGAAAACCAAAGUGAGAACAUGCUGGAAGGAGCUUUUAAUGUUCAGCAAAGAAGAAAUUUUUUUGGUUAUAAGCCAGAAUAUGGAAAAAGGUGAUGUGGGUUUUGUAAGAGAAACAACCACACAUAAGCUGACUAUUGGAAGAAACAGAAUUUGGCUGAUCAGCAAAGAGGUUCAAGGAACCAUAAAGAAUGUUACAACUGUGGAAAAUUUGGACAUUUCUCAAGAGAUUGUCGUUCGAAGAAAUAUGAACAAGCAGAGAUGGGUAUUGAGGAUGAAGAAGAUGAAGAUCACAUGAUAUUUAGUGCAAGUGAAGAGUCAGAAAAAACCAAAGACGAAGAUUUUUGGUUAGUGGAUAGUGGCUUCACAUGAUACUCCUCUAAACAAAGCACUGUCAGAGUUCGGUCUAUACUCAGUUCCUAGGAUGAUUAAACAGUGCUACAUGUAAGGAUUAGAGGAUAAUCAUUUGCUUUUAAUGAUUUGUGUCCAUAUCUUUGAGAUAUGAAUGGAGUAGUACAUGAUACUUCUCUAAACAAAGCUAAUGAAAAAUCACCUUGUGAAUAUUAAAAUGUAGCUGUUUCCAGGAGAAUGAAAGAAAUGAUAUAUUCUCCAAGUUCACUCAUGAUUAACCAGAACUUUUUACGGCCAAAAUGAACACAAUAUAGAACCUAAUCUAUGAAAAAAUGAAAUUGUAUUAUAGUUAUUGUCUAGGUAUACAUCAAAGCCCGGGUAGUUCAAGACAUCAUGUUCACUACUUGGCCGAGUAAAUCCGAUAGCUACUAACAAUGUCUGGUUCAAUGCUGAAAGAUUGCUACCAACUCAUCAUGCAGUGUUUUUUUGUUUAUACUCUCAAAGGUCGUUUUUAUCCACUCUUUUUAUCUUUUCGAGUAUUGUUUAGGUAGUCAAGUAUGUCAAGUCUAUCGAGUCGUCUAGUGUUUAGAGUCAUUUCUAUUCAUGUGUGGGAUUGUUGGAACUGUUUUUUUGGACAAAUGGAUAUGACCAAUAUUCUGGUGAUUUUUCCGAGCAACUUAAUUGUCGGAAUAACCGGAUUGUGGAAUAGUUGGAUUCCUUGUUAUGAGCAUUGUAAUAUAAUGUAAUCAUAUGUCAAAAAAAAGUUCGUUUGAAUGAGAAAUGAAAGAUUAAUAUGAAAUUAUUUGUAGAAUAUUUAUAUUAGAAAUAUGAGGUGAAAAUCAUCUUGUGUAUAAAAUGGAGAAAUUAAAACAAAGUUAAAAAAACUUUGUAAACAUUUUGGUGUAUUAAGAAAAGAGAUACUUGGGCUAGACUGAAUUUUGGAUUAAACCACUAAGAUUUAUUUGUCUUAGCCCAAUAUCUUUUGCUAAUUAUUUUACUAAAUAAUAAAGCAUAAGAUCUCUUUGUUUCUCAUCUUUGACUAACGUCUUUGAUCAACAGUGAAUUUGAUUUUGGAUUCAAUGCUGUAACAUAUGGAGAAUAAAUUCAGCUCAUGAUAGAAUCAAAAUAAAAAUCUCCAUUUAGUGCUUUGUGAUGCACAUUAUUUCAUGGGCUAUAUAAAGCCAUGCCUUUCUCAUUUGAUAGACACGUCGAACACAAACAAAAAAACAGUUUCUCCCAUUUAUUUAUUUUUGUGUCUGACAGUAUAAGAGUAUAGCAUAGAUAUAGGUUUGAUAGGUUAUGGUUCUCAUGUGUUGUGAGACUGAAAAUAUAGACAGUUAUAUAUUUAGAUUCUUAAAUGUAUCAAACCUUCAUACUAUGAGUAUUUAAAAGAUUAAGGAAAUAGAUCUGAAUCUCGACUCUACUUAAGUUCUUUUCAUUCCAAAUACGGUAUUAUGUUGUUGUACUUUUUGUUCAUAUCAUUUGUAAUUUUUUUUUAGCAUAUCAAAUUUGCUCAUCUUGUAAAUUGGGUGCCUACAAAAGACACAGUUUAGCAAAUGGACUAGCUCAAAAAUCGAUGUGAUGCCUUCAAGAGGACUCUAUGAUGGCUAUUGUGGGCAUUGAUGCCACUUUGUGAUCCUUUAUAGAGACUGUUUCCUUUUGAGAAAGGAGUUAGAGCGCCAUGGUAGCCUAAAUGUGGGAAGAAUUUUUGGUGGCCUCAAGAUUAAGGUCCCACAAUGCCUUAUAAAAACUUCAUGAUCUGAAGAAGAUAUGAAAAAUUGAUUUAUUUGCUUUAA